rnacentral:rRNA from 6 species
GAUUAAGUUAUUAAGGGCGCACGGUGGAUGCCUUGGCACUAGAAGCCGAUGAAGGACGUUACUAACGACGAUAUGCUUUGGGUAGCUGUAAGUAAGCGUUGAUCCAGAGAUUUCCGAAUGGGGGAACCCAGCAUGAGUUAUGUCAUGUUAUCGACAUGUGAAUUCAUAGCAUGUCAGAAGGCAGACCCGGAGAACUGAAACAUCUUAGUACCCGGAGGAAGAGAAAGAAAAAUCGAUUCCCUGAGUAGCGGCGAGCGAAACGGGAAGAGCCCAAACCAACAAGCUUGCUUGUUGGGGUUGUAGGACACUCUAUACGGAGUUACAAAAGAACAUGUUAGACGAAUCAUCUGGAAAGAUGAAUCAAAGAAGGUAAUAAUCCUGUAGUCGAAAACAUAUUCUCUCUUGAGUGGAUCCUGAGUACGACGGAGCACGUGAAAUUCCGUCGGAAUCUGGGAGGACCAUCUCCUAAGGCUAAAUACUCUCUAGUGACCGAUAGUGAACCAGUACCGUGAGGGAAAGGUGAAAAGUACCCCGGAAGGGGAGUGAAAGAGAACUUGAAACCGUGUGCUUACAAGUAGUCAGAGCCCGUUAAUGGGUGAUGGCGUGCCUUUUGUAGAAUGAACCGGCGAGUUACGAUCUGAUGCAAGGUUAAGCAGCAAAUGUGGAGCCGCAGCGAAAGCGAGUCUGAAUAGGGCGUUGAGUAUUUGGUCGUAGACCCGAAACCAGGUGAUCUACCCUUGGUCAGGUUGAAGUUCAGGUAACACUGAAUGGAGGACCGAACCGACUUACGUUGAAAAGUGAGCGGAUGAACUGAGGGUAGCGGAGAAAUUCCAAUCGAACUUGGAGAUAGCUGGUUCUCUCCGAAAUAGCUUUAGGGCUAGCCUCAAGUGAUGAUUAUUGGAGGUAGAGCACUGUUUGGACGAGGGGCCCCUCUCGGGUUACCGAAUUCAGACAAACUCCGAAUGCCAAUUAAUUUAACUUGGGAGUCAGAACAUGGGUGAUAAGGUCCGUGUUCGAAAGGGAAACAGCCCAGACCACCAGCUAAGGUCCCAAAAUAUAUGUUAAGUGGAAAAGGAUGUGGCGUUGCCCAGACAACUAGGAUGUUGGCUUAGAAGCAGCCAUCAUUUAAAGAGUGCGUAAUAGCUCACUAGUCGAGUGACACUGCGCCGAAAAUGUACCGGGGCUAAACAUAUUACCGAAGCUGUGGAUUGUCCUUUGGACAAUGGUAGGAGAGCGUUCUAAGGGCGUCGAAGCAUGAUCGCAAGGACAUGUGGAGCGCUUAGAAGUGAGAAUGCCGGUGUGAGUAGCGAAAGACGGGUGAGAAUCCCGUCCACCGAUUGACUAAGGUUUCCAGAGGAAGGCUCGUCCGCUCUGGGUUAGUCGGGUCCUAAGCUGAGGCCGACAGGCGUAGGCGAUGGAUAACAGGUUGAUAUUCCUGUACCACCUAGUAUCGUUUUAAUCGAUGGGGGGACGCAGUAGGAUAGGCGAAGCGUGCUGUUGGAGUGCACGUCCAAGCAGUAAGGCUGAGUGUUAGGCAAAUCCGGCACUCAUAAGGCUGAGCUGUGAUGGGGAGAGGAAAUUGUUUCCUCGAGUCGUUGAUUUCACACUGCCGAGAAAAGCCUCUAGAUAGAUAACAGGUGCCCGUACCGCAAACCGACACAGGUAGUCAAGAUGAGAAUUCUAAGGUGAGCGAGCGAACUCUCGUUAAGGAACUCGGCAAAAUGACCCCGUAACUUCGGGAGAAGGGGUGCUCUUUAGGGUUCACGCCCAGAAGAGCCGCAGUGAAUAGGCCCAAGCGACUGUUUAUCAAAAACACAGGUCUCUGCUAAACCGUAAGGUGAUGUAUAGGGGCUGACGCCUGCCCGGUGCUGGAAGGUUAAGAGGAGUGGUUAGCUUCUGCGAAGCUACGAAUCGAAGCCCCAGUAAACGGCGGCCGUAACUAUAACGGUCCUAAGGUAGCGAAAUUCCUUGUCGGGUAAGUUCCGACCCGCACGAAAGGCGUAACGAUUUGG